GCCCAUGUGGGGCAGAGCUCAGGUUCCAGCAGCCUGAAUCUCCCCCAGCCUGGCUUUGCAAAUGGCCUGCCAUCACCUGCUGGGCUUGUAAAGCCUGCUACAAACAGGCACCUUAGAAACAGAGCUGACCUUAAGAAAGACCGGCUUUCAGGGAGAAAUUGAUUGAAGUGCGGAUUGGUAUGACAGCAAGUAUUAUUAGGAUUUUAGCACUGUUAAUUUUUUUAAGAAGGAAACUUAGUCAUUCAGAAGUAAAUGGCCAACAACAUGUGCUGUUACUGUAGAGAUGCUCUCAGGUUUAGAGCUGUGCAUCAGAGAAGUUUACAAUGAAGACCAUCAUCAGAAUACUCUGAGCACAAUAAGGACACCCUGUAAAUAAUGUGAAAGGUUGUGAAGAGUUGCACUUUUUUUCUCAGAGAGGGAUUUGCCUUUUUUCUAUUCCCUCUCUCCAAGCCCCCUUCUGAACACAGUACAAACCUCUUGGGCACAGUCCUGUGCCUCUUCUUCUCUUUCUCUUCCAUGGCUCAGCUUUGCUUUGUUUCCACCAAGGUGUUAUUUACAACAUUUAGGUUUAACCCUGGAGUGGCUUCAGUAAGAGACAAGGCCAUAAAAACAUUGCUCAACAUCUCAUGCAUCUGGGUCCCUCACUGGGUCACAGCUGUACAAGGAAAAAAGCUGCGUCCUGGAGGCAACCAAAUUCUUUUCAGCAAGACAAGUGCAGUCUUGGAGGCCUGUUGCUCUGCAGUGUAAUUUCUUUGGUGUAAACUGUCCUGGGUUUUCUAAGAGCUGUAAUCCUGUCAACUUCUUACAAAAAACUUGAGAUAACAGAAAAAUUUGUGACCUCUAAAACUAAGUGCCAUGCAUCCAUUUGGCACAGUAACUGCUACAGCCUUCACCAUGAGCAGAAAUGUCAACCAUACAGUAGCUGAGUAGCUGGUCUCAUAUUUAUUUCAGGUCAGCACUUGAUUGUGUGAUUGCCCCACCCUUUCUUGAAUUUAUCCCCUGCAAGGAAUGAAGCCUAUUAAUUAACUUAUUUCAGGGUGUCAGGACACCUGAUGGUUUGUAAAUCUAUCAGAAAGAUAAAAAAUGUCUUAUUCCUUGAAGAAAAAAAAAACAACAACAAGAAGGCAAUGAAAACUGCAAGAAAAAGAAAAAUUAAGGAAAACAUUAUUAAUCAAAUUAAAAUUCAGAAGAAUGAAUGAGUACAGGCUCUUCUGCAUGGGGUUGUUUUCUAUUUCAGUUUCUUCUUGCCCUUCAACAGAACCUCUUCCACAUCCCUCUUGUUAUUUAUUUGGGAAUAAGAUGCUUUAGUAUUGAACAUGCACUAGAAGAGCAUGCAGAGUCUACACAGGCUACAGCGUCUCCACAGUGUCUCCACAGGAAGGACUGGAUUUUUAGUUUGCUUUGCUUGUAGAGCUAUGGGCAAUCCUUUCAUUAGUAAGGUGCUCUGUGUCUCCAUUAGCCUUAGUAGGUACUGCAAACAAGCUGGGUCCCUUGUUGACUUUUUCAAAUUUCGUUUCUGUUUACUUUCUAUAGUGAGUCUAAUGCUGGCUAAAUCCCCAUGCACCCACUAGAAAUUAUUAACUCAUUUCCUGCUGUGAGAGAUGGAUUACGAGAAGGAGGGCAAAACAGGCUCAAAAUUUGAAAGAAUAUAAAGAAAACUUUAUUAACAGAAUUAAAAGAAAAAUUGUAAGAAAAUCAGAAUAACUUCAGAACACUUUUCCUCCCUCCACACCCUCUUUUCUUUCCCACUGACAACGUGAAGAGACAAAACUUGUGACUUUCAGUCAGUUUUCCACCUCUAAAACAGUUUUUCUUCAUUUCUCUUAGGGAGGGGAGUCUCUCUUGCAAUGCCAUGGAGACUUCACAGUAAACAAUUCUCUCCUGGCUUUUAAUUUCCAUGAACAGCAGCCGCCUGGAAAACUGCAAUUGUGAAGUCCCUCCCAUCUUUUCUGCAGCCUUCCCACAGCUGCAUUCAUGGGCCAUGUCAAUUUAUUGGGGUGCUAUUUUUAAGGAUGAGCUGUUCUAGCAUAAAAACAAAAGUUCUUUUAAU